AACGAACGCUGGCGGCGUGCCUAAUACAUGCAAGUCGAGCGCAGGAAACCGUCUGAACCCUUCGGGGGGAUGACGGCGGAAUGAGCGGCGGACGGGUGAGUAACACGUAAAGAACCUGCCCACGGGUCUGGGAUAACCACGAGAAAUCGGGGCUAAUACCGGACGGGUCAUCGGACCGCAUGGUCCGAGGAUGAAAGGCGCUCCGGCGUCGCCCGUGGAUGGCUUUGCGGUGCAUUAGCUAGUUGGUGGGGUAACGGCCCACCAAGGCGAGGAUGCAUGGCCGACCUGAGAGGGUGAUCGGCCACACUGGGACUGAGACACGGCCCAGACUCCUACGGGAGGCAGCAGUAGGGAAUCUUCCACAAUGGACGAAAGUCUGAUGGAGCAACGCCGCGUGAACGAUGAAGGCCCUCGGGUCGUAAAGUUCUGUUGUAAGGGAAGAACAAGUGCCGCAGGCAAUGGCGGCACCUUGACGGUACCUUGCGAGAAAGCCACGGCUAACUACGUGCCAGCAGCCGCAGUAAAAC
rnacentral:rRNA from 1 species